CCUCGGCCCUUCUCAUCUUCCAGGCGCAUGCUCCGUCCACUAGACCUCCCUGCUUCUCCCUCCUGUUCUCCCUCCCCUUCAGACCAUAAGCUCCUUAGGAGGUGGGGACUGGGUUCUAUCUGAUGACCCCAAUGCUUGACACAUUGUAAAUACUUAAUGAAUGUGGUUGUUAUUUGUUAUUAUUGUUGUUAUUAUCAUCAUUCCUGUCAUCAAAGAGGGAAGCAUUAUGGCCUAGUGGAUAAAGCAUGGGUCUGGGAGCCAGAGGACUGGCAUCUAAUCCUGACUUCACCACUUGUGUGCUGUGAGACCUUGUGCAAGGCACUUUACGUCUCUGGGCCUCGGUUUCCUCAGCAGCAGAAUGGGGAUUGAAUACCUGCUUAGACUGUGAGACCCAUGUGGGGACAGGAACUGUAUCCAGCCUGAUUUACUUGCAUCUGCCCCUGCGCUUAAAACAAUGCUUGACAUAUAGUAAGUGCUUAACAGAUACCAUAAAAAAAUACCUCUAAAAAGAAAAGUAAAAGCCUUUCCCUCGGAGGGUAUCGUGAAGAAUAACUGGCUAUAGUGGACGCGGUACACGUUUCAAAUCCCAGAUGCUGCAGAAAACCCAAUAAAUAGAAGGAUGUCAUGGAAAAAUCUCAGUAAUCCCCAUUUCUUGACCCAGAAUUUGGAUCCAGAUCAGACCGAGCUACGUAUGAACUAUUUAUUGGAUCCAGAUUGAAAGAAUGAAACUUUUCUCUGCAAGCCUCCUGAUGCCUUGCUCUUUGUUUGGAUUCCAGGAUUUCUCCUUCCCGUCGCGGACCUGUCCAACAAGGGGGCUCGAUCGGACCCUCCCUUCCAGGGGCAAGGUCGUGCUUAGCGACGUUUGCCACUUGACUCUUCUCCUCCUCCCUAAACGUCAAAUCUUCUGUUCCCAUGAGCAUUUCUGCAGUUCUUCAUUCCACUCCCUUGUGCAACUGGACGGUACACAGAGUCAUCAAACAUUCCCGCAACUCAGGAAGCUCGGCUCCAAACGUUC
rnacentral:lncRNA from 1 species